rnacentral:rRNA from 1 species
ACAGAGGGUGCGAGCGUUAAUCGGAAUUACUGGGCGUAAAGCGUGCGUAGACGGCUAUCUAAGUCGGGUGUGAAAGCCCCGGGCUCAACCUGGGAAUGGCGAUGGAUACUGGCGAGCUAGAGUGUGUCAGAGGAUGGUGGAAUUCCCGGUGUAGCGGUGAAAUGCGUAGAGAUCGGGAGGAACAUCAGUGGCGAAGGCGGCCAUCUGGGACAACACUGACGCUGAAGCACGAAAGCGUGGGGAGCAAACAGGA